rnacentral:rRNA from 1 species
AGCUCCAAUAGCGUAUAUUAAAGUUGUUGCAGUUAAAAAGCUCGUAGUUUGAUUUCUGGACGGGCGCUGACACCCGCUUGUUAGUGAGGAGGAGGCGCCCGCCCAUCCUUCUGUUAACGCCAUCGGCAUUCAUUUGCUGGCGGCGGGCUCAGAUAUUUUACCUUGAGAAAAUUAGAGUGUUUCAGGCAGGCUUGCGCCUAGAUACAUUAGCAUGGAAUAAUAGAAUAGGACUUUGGCCUCUUCUGUUGGUCUGAGGGGUUAGAGUAAUGAUUAAUAGGGAUAGUUGGGGGCAUUAGUACUUAACUGCUAGAGGUGAAAUUCUCAGAUUUGUUAAAGACUAACUUAUGCGAAAGCAUUUGCCAAGGAUGUUUUCAUUA